UCGGAGAGGAGGACAGUGGCGAAGGGUGAGUACACGUGAGUAUCUACCUCCAGGUCGGGAACAGNCCGCGGAAACGCGGAUUAAUGCCCGAUGGUCCCUUCGGGGUAAAGAGGAAUCGCCCGGAGACGAGCUCGCGGCCCAUCAGCUUGUUGGCGGGGUAACGGCCCACCAAGGCGACGACGGGUAGGUGGUCUGAGAGGAUGGUCACCCACACUGGGACUGAGAUACUGCCCAGACUCCUACGGGAGGCUGCAGUCGAGAGGCAUCCGCAAUGGGCGAAAGCCUGACGGUGCAGUGCCGCGUGGGGGAUGUUGGCCUUCGGGUCGUAAACCCCUGUCAGAGGGGACGAAAAACAUGACGGUACCCUCAGAGGAAGCCACGGCUAACUACGUGCCAGCAGCCGCGGUAAUACGUAGGUGGCGAGCGUUAUUCAGAUUUACUGGGCGUAAAGGGUCCGCAGGGGGUUUGCCGAGUCCGAUGUGAAAGUCCGCAGCUCAACUGCGGAACUGCGUCGGAUACUGGUGAACUUGAGUGCGCGAAGGGCGAGCGGAAUUCCAGGUGUAGCGGUGGAAUGCGUAGAUUUCUGGAAGAACACCGGCGGCGAAAGCGGCUCGCUGGCGCGCCACUGACCCUCAUGGACGAAAGCGUGGGGAGCGAACAGGAUUAGAUACCCUGGUAGUCCAC
rnacentral:rRNA from 1 species